ACCUCAGAGCCACUAGGAAACAAGUGGUAUUUUAUUCCUUUUUGUCCUUGUUGAGAGGAGAGAUCACGACACAGAGAAUGGCAGUCCUGGUCACAGCGGCACGGCUGGUCAGUUUCCACGAGAACACGAGGGGCGGGAGGGGCGGGCUCUGACUUUCCACUCUCUUCACCACCUGGGACCUCCUGCUGCUCCCCCUGCAGCAGGGCUGCCUGGAGCCCUGCCUGCUCCCUAACCUGGGGCCAGGCUAGCAGAGGGGGCGGGGGCUGGCGCUGCUGCCUGGCCAGCAGGGCGCAGACAGCCAAGCAGAGGACCCCUGCUCUUUCUCCAUGCUGCCCCUCCCCAGAGCACGGGCCCCAGCCAAAUGCAUCCACUCAGCCAUGACCUGCCAGAGCCCCAGUUCAGGGAUGAGAGUCUGGGUCCAGGCGAGCUGGCUAUAGAUGGGAAUCUCUGGAGCAGGGAAGGGUGGAGAAGGGCGAAUGGUUCCAGAGCCCGGGGGGUUAUUGCUGAGAAGAUAUGCAAGGGGCACAUUUCCCCGGGGGCAGGGUAAGGCGGGGCAUAUGGGCACCAGGGAAGGGGUUCAGCCACCCGAGGGCAAGGUGGGCUCAUCAGCUCCUUGCUGGAACCUCCCACUGCCAAGAGACCUCAGCACAGAUUUGGUCCAGGGACAAGUAUGGAAGCAAGGUUCUUACAAAAGGAGUGAAAAGCAGCCAUGCACAAGGGUCAUGAAGGUGAUGUAAACCUUCCCAAGCCCCAAGCCAACUGGAGAUUCCCACCAGACCCCCAUAGCCACCCUGAAAUCGAGAGAAGGGACUGGUCUCUCAGAGAAAAAGCAGACUCCCAAGAGUGGGAGGUGAUGGGGCCACAGAGAGAGAGAGGCGCUGCCAGCCACAUGGCUCAGCUCCGGCCCAGGAAGGUGGGUUCGGGUUCACUAAAACACAACAUCAUCCACAAACAAGCAACCACAAAGAUCACAGUCAUCAGACACACACACAGACAUACACAUCACAGGAGGUGGACGAGACCACAGGCUCCAGGUGGGGGAGGCGGGGUUGCAUUAUUAAGUUGAGGACAGGUGUCAAGGGGCUGGGGACACAUAAGCUCUUGGCUUCUCCUGGGGAAAGACCUGUUGCUGAAGUGGCCGGUUUUCUUAAGCAUCAGCAUUUGCAUCUAAAGGUUCAAGCAGCUGCCUUCAGGUUCUGGAGGUGGAAGCAGAAGAGAAUUCAAAUUAAAACAAACCCCUGGCUUCCUUUCAAACCUCUCCAUCCACGCGUCUCCCAGCCAUUCCUUAGGGCAGCCCCUCUGCCCAUGGGAACCCCUAAGAUGAGACCCACUCCAAGUGCCUUGUUUUCAGUACACCAGAGGAUGAGUCUGAGAACCAGGACCAGGAGAUGAAGGUGGAGGAGGGCAUGGAGCUCAGGGUGGGGGCUCUCUCAGGGAAUGGAAGCUGGCAGAUGAAGACAUGGAAAGGAUUGUUAAACCUGGGUUUCUUUCUCAGGACACUCUCAAGAAUUGCUCACAGUCCUGAGACUCAGGAGAACACGGUUUCAAGGAAGUUCUAGUUUAAAAAAAGACAAUUGUUGGCUCAAGGCUCCUCCCUGGCGCCUCCCCACACAGCUCCCCAGAUUCGGAACCACGAGCUGCUGUGACGUGGACAAAUCACUGAGCCACAGCUAGGACACCUGCCACCUGGAUUGGAUCUAUAGCCACGUCAAGCUGAGGCAUCCCUGACCUCCCCAGGGCCCAGCUAGAAGAUGGAGGUAAUGAGCCCCACUCUGCCCACCCACGGGGCUGUCAUGAGAACAGAAAGCACUUAGGAGUGAAUUCAAGUGCUCCACAGGUACCCCGUGUUAUUACCAUCACGGUAAGAGCUGGUGUACCGGCAUUCUACAUCCAGAAAUUUCUUUCAACUCACAAUUUAGGAUAAAGUAUAUCCCUUAUCUGGGGCUUCCCUGCUGGCUCUGUGGUAAACAACCUUCCUGUUAAUGAGGAGACGCGGUUCAAUCCCAGGGUUGGGACAAUCUCCUGAAGAAGGAAAUGGCAACCCGCCUCCAGUAUUCUUGCCUGGGAAUACCGAAAGAAUUCUAGUAUCCCAUGGAUAAGAACCUCCAUG
ensembl:lncRNA